rnacentral:ncRNA from 1 species
GCAAUAGUAAUCCUUCUCAGUAAGAUAGGAACUGCAGGCUCAGACAUUUGGGGUCUGUACUUGGCUGAGGAGCCAAUAGUAUGAAGCUGCCAUCCGUAGGAUUACAGCAGAAUCCUUCCCUAAACGGC